AUUGAACGCUGGCGGCAUGCUUUACACAUGCCAGUCGAACGGUAACAGGCCGCAAGGUGCUGACGAGUGGCGAACGGGUGAGUAAUGCAUCGGAACGUGCCCAGUCGUGGGGGAUAACUACUCGAAAGAGUAGCUAAUACCGCAUACGAUCUAUGGAUGAAAGCGGGGGACCGUAAGGCCUCGCGCGAUUGGAGCGGCCGAUGUCAGAUUAGGUAGUUGGUGGGGUAAAGGCUCACCAAGCCAACGAUCUGUAGCUGGUCUGAGAGGACGACCAGCCACACUGGAACUGAGACACGGCCCAGACUCCUACGGGAGGCAGCAGUGGGGAAUUUUGGACAAUGGGCGCAAGCCUGAUCCAGCAAUGCCGCGUGCAGGAAGAAGGCCUUCGGGUUGUAAACUGCUUUUGUACGGAACGAAACGGCUCUGGUUAAUACCCGGGGCUAAUGACGGUACCGUAAGAAUAAGCACCGGCUAACUACGUG
rnacentral:rRNA from 1 species